UUUCCCACGUGUUAACAUACUGGAGUUGGAAAUGUCUUUUCGUCAUUUUUGGCUAAAGGAGAUGGAUGUAAAUCUAAUAGAUCCACAAGUAUCACAUAAAAUCGAAGGAGCACUAACCAAAAACUUGGCAACUGUGCAGAAGAAUGUAAAAUAUGAAGCUAAAUAGAGCAAAAGACAAAUGACCAGAAAAAGCUGUAUACAACUGCAAUCUGUGACCUAAGAUUGGGGCCAUGGAGUACUUAGCAGUAAUAAAGUACAUUUUUCGUGUAUUACUGGAAAAAUGAUACAGGAUGCAUCCUGCAUUCAACUGUUCUGGAAACUUCGAGUGCAAUUUUAUGAAGAUUCUCUCAAUGGAACUGUUGUGGAAACCGUCUUUACUGAAAAUCUAAAGAUAAUGUGAAUUCCAUUGGAUCUGGAAAGUGGAGAAACAUUUUACAAAAAGAUAAUGCCCAGAACACAUGUGAUUAUCACUAUCGACUUUUGGGACUAAUAUGGACAUCAAAAUUAUAGUUAUUGGCAGCAAUUAUGAAAAGACUCCUUUAAGAAUUUUGUUCUAAAAAUGGACUGCCUGCCAUCAAAGGAAGUGUUUUUUAAAUGGAUGCAAUGCAACAGUCUAUCAAUAACAAACACGAACAAGGGCCCGAAGAGGCAUGGCAACUAGAGCCAGACAAGCCUCGCGGCUUAGACGAGUCUUACAAGUCGAUUUCACCAAUAACAAGGAUUUUUAUUUAUUUAUUUAUUUGUACCAUGACAAGUGUACAAAGCCUUUAGGCCAAUUAAAGCGAAUACUAUAUGCUAAACAAUAUGAUUCGGCAACUAUAAAAAUAAUAAUAAAAAACCAAAUAAAAAUAUAUAUAUACAUAAUAUGAAAUGAAAGCUAGUUUUCUUUAAAGCUAACAUAAUAAGUUUACAUGAUGAGUGAACUACUCCAACA
rnacentral:sRNA from 1 species